CAGCCGCCGCGGUAAUACCGAGGGUGCAAGCGUUAAUCGGAAUUACUGGGCGUAAAGCGCGCGUAGGUGGUUUGUUAAGUUGGAUGUGAAAGCCCCGGGCUCAACCUGGGAACUGCAUCCAAAACUGGCAAGCUAGAGUACGGUAGAGGGUGGUGGAAUUUCCUGUGUAGCGGUGAAAUGCGUAGAUAUAGGAAGGAACACCAGUGGAGAAGGCGACCACCUGGACUGAUACUGACACUGAGGUGCGAAAGCGUGGGGAGCAAACAGGAUUAGAUACCCCCGUAGUCCUGUCUCUUAUACA
rnacentral:rRNA from 1 species